rnacentral:rRNA from 1 species
GGCGAAGGGGGCUAGCGUUGUUCGGAAUUACUGGGCGUAAAGCGCGUGUAGGCGGUUGCCAAAGUCGGGUGUGAAAGCCUUGAGCUCAACUCAAGAAAUGCACUCGAUACUUGGUGACUAGAGGACCGGAGAGGAUAGUGGAAUUCCCAGUGUAGUGGUGAAAUACGUAGAGAUUGGGAAGAACACCAGUGGCGAAGGCGGCUAUCUGGACGGUUUCUGACGCUAAGACGCGAAAGCGUGGGGAGCAAACAGG